UACGGAGGGGGCAAGCGUUGUUCGGAAUUACUGGGCGUAAAGGGCGCGCAGGCGGCUGCUCAAGUCAGGCGUGAAAGGCCUGGGCUCAACCCGGGAAUUGCGCUUGAGACUGGGCUGGCUUGAGUGCGGGAGAGGAUGGUGGAAUUCCCAGUGUAGAGGUGAAAUUCGUAGAUAUCAAGCAGAACACCUGUGGCGAAGGCGGCCUUCUGGACGAUGACUGACGCUGAGACGCGAAAGCGUGGGGAGCAAACAGG
rnacentral:rRNA from 1 species